UUUCCGUAGGUGAACCUGCGGAAGGAUCAUUAACGAGGUAGGGCCUCCUUCGGGAGCCCGAACUCCCCACCCUUUGCUGUUGCGAAUCACGUUGCUUCGGCGGGACCUCCCCCCCUCGAGAGGGGGGCGGGGGGCCGGGCCACCGCGCCCGGACAGCGCCCGCCGGGGGACCGAACCAACUCUUGUCUCGUAGAACCUUUGCAGUCGGAGUACAACCGUACAAUCAAAUCAAAACUUUCAACAACGGAUCUCUUGGUUCUGGCAUCGAUGAAGAACGCAGC
rnacentral:misc_RNA from 1 species